rnacentral:rRNA from 1 species
CAGAGGGUGCAAGCGUUGUUCGGAAUCACUGGGCGUAAAGCGCGCGCAGGCGGAUGGUUGCGUCUGGAGUGAAAUUUCGCCGCUCAACGGCGAAGCUGCUUUGGAUACGGACCGUCUGGGGACCGGUAGAGGCUGGUAGAAUUGCAGGUGUAGCGGUGGAAUGCGUAGAGAUCUGCAAGAAUACCCGUGGCGAAGGCGGCCAGCUGGGCCGGAUCCGACGCUGAGGCGCGAAAGCGUGGGGAGCAAACAGGAUUAGAUACCCUGGUAGUCCACGCCGUAAACGAUGGGCACUAGGUGCCGGGGGGAGCGACCCCUUCGGUGCCGCAGCUAACGCGAUAAGUGCCCCGCCUGGGGAGUACGGCCGCAAGGCUG